rnacentral:ncRNA from 1 species
AAAAGACUUAGUCCUAACCUUACCGUUAAUUUUUGCUAAACAUAUACAUGCAAGUAUCCGCGCCCCAGUGUAAAUGCCCUUGACCCCUUACUAAGGAAAAAGGAGCGGGUAUCAGGCACACCAACACAAUCGUAGCCCAAGACACCUUGCUCGGCCGCACCCCCACGGGUAUUCAGCAGUAGUUAACAUUAAGCAAUAAGUGUAAACUUGACUUAGUUAUAGCAACCUUCAGGGUUGGUAAAUCUUGUGCCAGCCACCGCGGUCACACAAGAGACCCAAAUUAACCGUACACGGCGUAAAGAGUGGCACUAUGAUAUCACACCGACUAGGGUCGAAGCACGACUAAGCUGUCAUAAGCUCAAGACGCACCUAAGACCACUUUCAAAAUAGCCCUAGCAUUAUCGAUCAAUUUAACUCCACGAAAGCCUGGGCACAAACUGGGAUUAGAUACCCCACUAUGCCUGGCCCUAAAUCUCGAUGCUUGCUAUACUAGAGCAUCCGCCUGAGAACUACGAGCACAAACGCUUAAAACUCUAAGGACUUGGCGGUGUCCCAAAUCCACCUAGAGGAGCCUGUUCUAUAAUCGAUAACCCACGAUAUACCCGACCACCCCUCGCCCAAAACAGCCUAUAUACCGCCGUCGCCAGCUCACCUUCCCUGAAAGCGCAGCAGUGAGCAUAAUAGCCAAACCCGCUAACAAGACAGGUCAAGGUAUAGCCCAUGGGGUGGAAGAAAUGGGCUACAUUCUCUAGAGUAGAGAACUUCACGGAAGGGGGCAUGAAACCGCCCCCGGAAGGCGGAUUUAGCAGUAAACUGGGACAAUAAAGCCCUCUUUAAGUUGGCCCUGGGACACGUACAUACCGCCCGUCACCCUCCUCACAAGCCACAAGUCCCCAUAAUUAAUACUCUUCUUCCGGCUGAAGAUGAGGUAAGUCGUAACAAGGUAAGUGUACCGGAAGGUGCACUUAGCAUACC